rfam:Triticum urartu cultivar G1812 contig1155804, whole genome shotgun sequence.
UUUGUACUCCUUUUGUUUCAAAAUUCUUGUUUCAGAUUCGUCUAGAUAUAGAAGCAUGUAAUAAUACUAAAAUGUGACUUGAUACAUCCGUAUUUAAAUAAAUUUAAGACAAGAAUUUUGGGACAGAGGGAGUACAGC